rnacentral:rRNA from 1 species
AGCAAGCAGAUCUCCUUCGGGAGUGACGCUUGUGGAACGAGCGGCGGACGGGUGAGUAACACGUGGGCAACCUACCUGUAAGACUGGGAUAACUCCGGGAAACCGGGGCUAAUACCGGAUGAAACAAAGCGUCGCAUGACGCAAUGUUAAAAGGCGGCAUAUGCUGUCACUUACAGAUGGGCCCGCGGCGCAUUAGCUAGUUGGUGAGGUAAAGGCUCACCAAGGCAACGAUGCGUAGCCGACCUGAGAGGGUGAUCGGCCACACUGGGACUGAGACACGGCCCAGACUCCUACGGGAGGCAGCAGUAGGGAAUCUUCCGCAAUGGACGAAAGUCUGACGGAGCAACGCCGCGUGAGUGAUGAAGGUUUUCGGAUCGUAAAACUCUGUUGUUAGGGAAGAACAAGUGCCAUUCAAAUAGGUUGGCACCUUGACGGUACCUAACCAGAAAGCCCCGGCUAACUACGUGCCAGCAGCCGCGGUAAUACGUAGGGGGCAAGCGUUGUCCGGAAUUAUUGGGCGUAAAGCGCGCGCAGGCGGUCCUUUAAGUCUGAUGUGAAAGCCCACGGCUUAACCGUGGAGGGCCAUUGGAAACUGGAGGACUUGAGUACAGAAGAGGAGAGUGGAAUUCCACGUGUAGCGGUGAAAUGCGUAGAGAUGUGGAGGAACACCAGUGGCGAAUGCGACUCUCUGGUCUGUAACUGACGCUGAUGUGCGAAAGCGUGAGUAGCGAACAGGAUUAGAUACCCUGGUAGUCCACGCCGU